rnacentral:lncRNA from 1 species
ACAUGCUGGUCUGUACUGGUCCGUACUGGUCCAUACUGGUCUGUAGUGGUCCAUACAGCCCCAUACUGGUCCAUACUAACCUAUACAUUCCCAUACUGGUCCGGACUGGUCCAUACUGGUCCAUACUGCCCCAUACUGAUCGAUACUAAGCUAUACAUCCCCAUACUGGUCCGUACUGGUCCAUACUGCCCCGUACUGCAGCAUACUGAUCCAUACUAACCUAUACAUCCCCGUACUGGUCUGUACUGGUCUGUACUGGUCCAUACUGGUCCAUAUGGCCCCAUACUAGUCCAUACUAACCUAUACAUCCCCAUACUGGUCCAUACUGGUCGGUACUGGUCCAUACUGGUCCAUAUGGCCCCAUACUAGUCCAUACUAACCUAUACAUCCCCAUACUGGUCCGUACUGGUCUGUACAGGUCCAUACCGGUCCAUACUGCCCCAUACUGGUCCAUACUAACCUAUACAUCCCCAUACUGGUCCGUACUGGUCUGUACAGGUCCAUACCGGUCCAUACUGCCCCAUACUGGUCCAUACUAACCUAUACAUCCCCAUACUGGUCCGUACUGGUCCAUAUUGGUCCAUACUGCCCCAUUCUGGUCCAUACUAACCUAUACAUUCCCUUACUGGUUCAUACUGGUCCAUACUGGUCUGUACUGGUCCAUACUGCCCCAUACUGCCCCAUACUGCUCCAUAGUAACCUAUACAUUCCCAUACUGGUCCAUACUGGUCCGUACUGGUCCGUACUGGUCCAUACGGUCAAUUCCCUGUCCUACCAGCAGAGGGCGCUCGCCUGCGGCUCCACGGGGCGGCGCUGCUGGUGGCCAACGCGACGCGUGGGGACGCGGGGCUGUACGGCCUGAGCUGCAGCAACAGCGAGGGGAGCGGCAGCGCCGCCGUGCGCCUCGUCGUGCACUGUGAGCCGGCAGCGACACCUGGCGGCCGGGAGGGGAACUGCAACGGGGGGGGAGAAUAGGGAGAUACUGAGAUACCAGAGAGAAACCAGAGAGACCCAGAGAGACCCCAUAGAGACCCCAUAGAGAGACCCCAUAGAGACCCAUAGAGACCCAUAGGGACCCAUAGGGACCCCACAGAGAGAGACACAUUGGGACCCAUAAAGGCCCCAUAGAGAGACCCCAUAGAGAGACCCAUAGAGACACAUAGAGACCCAUAGAGACCCAUAGUGACGAUGUAGAGACCCAUAGAAACCCCAUAGAGACCCAUAGAGCCCCAUAGAGACCCAUAGUGACCACGUAGAGACCCAUAGAAACCCCAUAGAGCCCCAUAGAGACCCCAUAGGGACCCAUAGACACCCCAUAGAGACCCAUAGAGACCCAUAGAGACCCACAGAGACCCAUAGAGACCCCAUAGAGCCCAUAGAGCCCCAUAGAGACCCACAGAGACCCAUAGAAACCCAUAGGGACCCCAUAGAGACCCAUAGAGACCCAUAGAGACCCACAGAGACCCAUAGAGA